UACGAAGGGGGCUAGCGUUGCUCGGAAUCACUGGGCGUAAAGGGUGCGUAGGCGGGUCUUUUAAGUCAGGGGUGAAAUCCUGGAGCUCAACUCCAGAACUGCCUUUGAUACUGAGGAUCUUGAGUCCGGGAGAGGUGAGUGGAACUGCGAGUGUAGAGGUGAAAUUCGUAGAUAUUGGGGAAGAACACCCGUGCGAAGGCGGCACUCUGGGACGGUAUUGAC
rnacentral:rRNA from 1 species